AUUUACGAGGUAUGAUACUUCCAUGUUGUAAUGUUAUUUUGGCAGCAGUCUGAUUCAUUAUUAAUAUAAUAUUUAAGGCGAUGUAUUUGACUAUGACCUGCAGUUCUUAGAGAUUAUGACUAGAAUAAAGUUGUUUUAUACUGAAAUAUGCGUGUGUUUGUGUGUGUGUGUGUGUGUUUCAGCCAAAACUCCCUAAUACAACACAAUAUUAUUUUAAAUAUUCACAUAUAUUUCAGUGUUUUAAUAAAUUAGUUCUGGUUUGUGUUUGCGCUUAAUCUCGGAGAACUACGUCACGCGCGACUUCCAGAUCACAUGACACUAGCACUAUUUGUUUUUUGUUUUUACAUAUUAUUUAAAGCGUGUAAAACUACAAGGCAAUACUCAUGCGCCUUUGAAAGAGCAUAAAACAUGUUAAAUUGGAUUUGCGUUAUAAAAAAAUUAUUCAAGCGUGUAUUAACAGCCUAAAAUAACCCGAGUCCUUUAUUCGACACAUGCACGACUGCACAGCACACCGCGCGAUUAUCAUCAGAUAUUAUAAGCGAGAAUCUGCAUCUUGUAUUAAACUCCAGUAAAGAUGUAAAGCUGUAACUCACUAGACGCAUCGAGCUGGACCUGAUGAGGUAGUGAAGAAAGAGAAAACACCAUUAAGCGCCGCAGAGCACAUGCAAACAUAUGGUGAGCUGCUUUCCCUGGACGGCGUUGAAAUAAAUAAAGCUGCGUGCAAACAAGGAGGAAGAAAACACCACCCUGUUCAUCCUGCUCUGAUCUACAGCAGAAAACCACUUUGAGAAGACAUGCUCUCAUCUCUACAGCAGGUCUGUCUCAGGGUGUCUUAUUAAUUAAAGCCGUGGACCUCAGAGACUCGUCAAGACGCUGGAUUACAGACGGACAUCUGAGUUAUCAGCAGGUGCGUCCCAAAACCGGCUGACUUCAGUUCUGCCUCCCAAUACAUCUGACCAGUCUGGCAUCCUCGAACGAAUUCCUGCAACGUCUGCCGUAUUAUUGUCAGAAGAACGCUUUGAAAAAUCCUGAUGUUCUGGAAGCUCUUCAGUCUUGUGAGGAUGAUUUGACACAAAGUAUCUUCAAGACGAGUCGACAUACAACUUAACAGACGAUUGACACACAGUACGACUCUCAGCUUUAAAUAAUACGGUUUCAGGCUGGUUUUGUUGUUGUUGCAUUAGGCUUUUUGACUAAAACGACAUCACCAGUUUUUAAACUCAUUUUUUUACGCUGUAGGUCACUUAUGAGGAGAACUGGUAUAGAUUAGACUUUUUUUGCUCAUUGCUAGUAAAAAUCAAACAUAAUUACAAAGUAACAAGUUAAACGCCUUUACUGUUUUAGUUUCCUAUUUACAUAUCUCCCUUUUUUCAUUCUCAUUUCUAUUUAAUUUAAUUUUUUUUCCUUAGUUUUGACUUGUUUUCCUUUCCUGAUUCAUUCACAUUCGACUAUUUCUGUUUCUUGAUUCCUUUUUCAUUUCACUUUUUCCAUUCCAGUUAUUUUUCUACUUCCUUCCUGUUUUCUUUCCUUCCUCUCUCAUUUUCCUGUCUUUUUUGGUUUCUUUACAUACACUUUAAUUUCCUUUUGUAAUAUUCCUUACAUUACCAUUUUAAUUUCCCUGAUUCCUUUAUUUUUUACUGUUUCUUCAUUUCUUUAUUUCCUUACUUGUUUCCUUUUGUUUACAUUUUUUUUCUAAUUUCAUUUCCUGUUUCUCUUACUUCUAGAAUUCUAGUUUUUUUUUUUCCUUUUCCUAUUUCUAAUUCCUUUGGCUAUUUACAUUUAUUUUUCCCUUUCCUGUUUCCUUCCUAUGUGGCACUGACGGUCAUUCAUGCAAAAUAAGUACAAGGUGAAACAUCUUCAACAUCAUACCAUUUCAUAGCGAAUGUUUCAGGUUUAAAGCUCUGCAGUCACACACAGGUCUGGAGCAGCACGUCUCGUCCUCUCUCUCCUCUGUCCUGUAUGAGCUGGAUCUGUGCAUCAUGUCUCUCGUCAGCGCUGAAGCUAGCCGUGUCUGGGUCUCAUCAGAAUGAAACGGGACGGGAGGCAGGCUGCUGAUCUCUCGCUCUCUCGCUCCUCUUCACCAAAUCAAUGGUGGCCUGUGGAGCGCCGGCCUGACGCUCACUGACUCUUUCAUGAGGAUGUUUGAAGCUCUGAAGAUCUUGAGGAGAGAGUCAGUCGCUGUUUUGGGAUGCCAGCGGGCCGCUCAUGUCAAGACCUGCCACAUUCACCUUCACAUCCUCCACCGCUGAACACAGGAUCAGAGCAAAGUUCAGCUCUAUCCCAGUCACACUCGGAGAAGGAAGACCAAUCAGAAGUCAGCAUGCAAAUACUACGAUGAUGUCAUCACUGCUGGAUACAUUUGAAAAGUGAAGAUUCCAUCAGGUCAAAGAAAGGUCAGACCAUAACAUUACAGUGGAAUAUUUACAGCCACCGAAAACAGUUGGAGCUGAAUUAAUUGGAGAAGUUGAACUCAAGCCCUCUGAUGAUGUAUGUUGUGUCUGUGAUUCUGUUCUUCUUUUCUCGCUCCUCGUUUAUCACGAUGAUCACAUUUCUCUCCACUGGUUCUUCUCUUAUUUCUCAAGAUGAUAAAUUCAGACCAUGUGUGGACGAGGCCAUGCACUGAAUUCUUCCUGAGUUUUGUGUUUUGAAGUGCACACUAGUGAGCAACGUCGUAUAUUAACAUUGUAUUUGUAAAUAAAAUACUGUGCAUUUUAUAAACUUGUCACACAAGCUUUCUGGCAGGCACAGUUGUGUUUUAUUUACAUUUUUAUAGUGUGUGUGUGCGAGUUCAUGCACAUGUGAGCUUGAGUGUGUAUGUGUGUGUGUGUGUUUGUGUGUGUGUGUGUGUGUGUGUGUGUGUGUGUGUGUGUGUGUGUGUGUGUGUGUGUGUGUGUGUGUGUGUGUGUAAAUGCUGAGCCAGCGGCUCCAUCUCUCCUCUGAACACAUGAUUGAUGAAGUCCAUCAGAGAGAGAGAGAGAGAGAGAGGGGGGGGGGGAUACGGUGAAGAGAGGAGCACAGAGUGAUGGAUGGAUGUGAGCUGAUUGCUGUUGUUUGACACUCUCAGAUCUUAGUGUUUAAUGAAUGAGUGUGUGUCACAGGCUCAGAUCAUUCACUUACACUGUGCUGCAGAUGCUGAAGUGAAUCUGAGACUGACGUUCUGUCUGUAGUUCUGACGUUAUGUCAUUUAACAUCUUUCUGUCAUUAAACAGAUCUGCUAAGCUUUCCUGGUGUGUGUGUAUUCCACAGACAAGCUGCUGGUUCUCAAUUUGACCCUUUUUUGCCAUUUCCCAUCCAUUAUAGUUCUGAAAAAUCAGCCCUGACUCCACAAACCUGCCAGGUUCGUCCCAGGAAUGAGUGUCAUCAUUAGUGACAGGAAGCAGAGAUUCCAGGACGUCGUUCUGAAGGAUUGAUCUCUGUCUGCUCAAACACCGGGUCACUGUGAUGAAGGUCAUGAGAUUCACUCCAGACGUUUGCCAGACGGCAUUUAUAACCAUCAGAUCGCAUCAACAGCUGGACGUGUAUGAUUCAUUUACAUCAGCCUGACAGGAACACACACACACACACACACACACAUGCUCUCUCUCUCUCUGUGUGUGUGUUCUGUGGUGGAAACAGUGAGGUAAAUGUCCCCGUAUGAUUCAGGUUAGAGGAUACAGUCUCUGCUGCUCCGAUAAGAAUUGAAAUCCUGUUUUGCUUCAUAUCAACUCACUAAACCAAAUGGGAACUCGCUCUGAUUUAUUACUGCACUGUUUUCAACCUUGACUCAUAAAGUGUUUGUCGCAGCCCGUUCCAUUUCUUUUUAGGUUAACAGGAAGCACUGUCCACAGAAACACUACGCUCCCAAAGCAAACGUUUUAACCCGAUGAAUCGGGACAAACAAUGGAUUCACAAAACAAUCAUAAAAUGCAAAUAACCCUAUAAUCAAGCAUGGUUUUUCUAUUAGCGUCUAUAUUAUAUUAUGAUAAUAAAUUAAUUAUAAUUAUUUAGUUUUAUUGCAGCAGAUUUAAUUAUUAUAAUUAAAUGUUUGAUUUUAUUUUUGUAUUUGAAUGUAUUUUAUACACAUUUAUAUUUACGUUGUUAUUUGUGUUUUUGA